rnacentral:rRNA from 1 species
CGGCGGACGGGUGAGUAAUGCUUGGGAAUAUGCCUUAUGGUGGGGGACAACAGUUGGAAACGACUGCUAAUACCGCAUAAUGUCUACGGACCAAAGGGGGGGAUCUUCGGACCUCCCGCCAUUUGAUUAGCCCAAGUGAGAUUAGCUAGUUGGUAAGGUAAUGGCUUACCAAGGCGACGAUCUCUAGCUGGUUUGAGAGGAUGAUCAGCCACACUGGGACUGAGACACGGCCCAG